rnacentral:rRNA from 1 species
GACGAACGCUGGCGGCGUGCUUAACACAUGCAAGUCGAACGGAAAGGCCCUGCUUGCAGGGUACUCGAGUGGCGAACGGGUGAGUAACACGUGGGUGAUCUGCCCUGCACUUCGGGAUAAGCCUGGUAAACUGGGUCUAAUACCGGAUAGGAGCCAUUUUUAGUGUGAUGGUUGGAAAGUUUUUUCGGUGUAGGAUGAGCUCGCGGCCUAUCAGCUUGUUGGUGGGGUAAUGGCCUACCAAGGCGGCGACGGGUAGCCGGCCUGAGAGGGUGGACGGCCACAUUGAGACUGAGAUACGGCCGAGACUCCUACGGGAGGCAGCAGUGGGGAAUAUUGCACAAUGGGCGCAAGCCUGAUGCAGCGACGCCGCGUGGGGGAUGACGGCCUUCGGGUUGUAAACUCCUUUCGCUAGGGACGAAGCUUUUUGUGACGGUACCUAGAUAAGAAGCACCGGCUAACUACGUG